GAUGAACGCUGGCGGCGUGCCUAAUACAUGCAAGUCGAGCGAACAGACGAGGCGCUUGCUCCUCUGACGUUAGCGGCGGACGGGUGAGUAACACGUGGAUAACCUACCUAUAAGACUGGGAUAACUUCGGGAAACCCGCGCUAAUACCGGAUAAUCUAUUGAACCGCAUGGUUCAAUAGUGAAAGACGGUUUUGCUGUCACUUAUAGAUGGAUCCGCGCCGCAUUAGCUAGUUGGUAAGGUAACGGCUUACCAAGGCAACGAUGCGUAGCCGACCUGAGAGGGUGAUCGGCCACACUGGAACUGAGACACGGUCCAGACUCCUACGGGAGGCAGCAGUAGGGAAUCUUCCGCAAUGGGCGAAAGCCUGACGGAGCAACGCCGCGUGAGUGAUGAAGGUCUUCGGAUCGUAAAACUCUGUUAUUAGGGAAGAACAAAUGUGUAAGUAACUAUGCACGUCUUGACGGUACCUAAUCAGAAAGCCACGGCUAACUACGUG
rnacentral:rRNA from 1 species